rnacentral:lncRNA from 13 species
GUCUGUUUCUUUUUACAUCUCAGAUCUGGUCAUGCCAGUGCCCAUACGAGGCCCACCGGCACCCCUUCUGGGAGAUGUUCUGUUUUCCAAGAAUAGACACAAUCACAAAAGCCAUUUAUCUUGGAAACACUUCACACAAAUACUUUCUUAAUUAAAUUCCAUCUCUAUCUUAGCACCUACGAAUGUAAGCCCUACUAAUAAAAUCCCAUCUCUAUUUCACUAGGUGUAUUAAACACCUACCAUGUGCCAGGACCUGUGGGAAGUGCAGGUGGGUACCGUGGGAGCACUCAGGAGAGCUGCUGACCUCACGGGUGCGGUGGUUAAGCAGCUGGGGAAGCGGGACCUGCACUCACCCUUGAACCCUCAACUCACCCUGUGCAUCAGUACAAGGCCAGGGCAGCAUCUUUAAUCAACCCAUUUACCCUUGAGAGACGGAGGCUCAAAGGGCUGAGCGGCUUACCUCGGUGUUAGGUAGAGGAGCCUGAAUCAGCCCAGGUCUCUGUUUUUCCCGCAGUGAACACCAUGACGGGACAUGCACAAAGGCAGGUGCACAGGCGGCGCUGAAUUCAGGCUGAGACUGGCGCUCAGUGGUGGCAUGGUGGCAGUUGACUCUGAACAACCUCCAGGAUUCAUCUCUCCUCAUUCACAGUGUGCCUAUGAGAUCCCAGGAAACAAAAACACGAGGAGGAGACUGAGUCUCAGAUCACCAGCUGUGUCACCUGGGACAAGGUGGGGAAACUGAGGGCUGGAGAGGUUGAGAGAUGUCCUCACCCAGGUGACAGGGCUGAAGAUGAGAGAAGAGGUCUGAGCACAGGUGGUGUGGUGUCAGUGCCUCUGCCCUUGAC